rnacentral:misc_RNA from 1 species
UACGAAGGGGGCUAGCGUUGUUCGGAAUUACUGGGCGUAAAGCGCACGUAGGCGGACUGUUUAGUGAGGGGUGAAAUCCCGGGGCUCAACCCCGGAACUGCCUCUCAUACUGGCAGUCUCGAGUCCGGAAGAGGUGAGUGGAAUUCCGAGUGUAGAGGUGAAAUUCGUAGAUAUUCGGAGGAACACCAGUGGCGAAGGCGGCUCACUGGCUCGAUACUGACGCUGAGGUGCGAAAGCGUGGGGAGCAAACAGG